AUUGAACGCUGGCGGCAUGCCUUACACAUGCAAGUCGAACGGUAACAGGUCUUCGGAUGCUGACGAGUGGCGAACGGGUGAGUAAUACAUCGGAACGUGCCCGAUCGUGGGGGAUAACGAAGCGAAAGCUUUGCUAAUACCGCAUACGAUCUACGGAUGGAAGCAGGGGACCGCAAGGCCUUGCGCGAACGGAGCGGCCGAUGGCAGAUUAGGUAGUUGGUGGGAUAAAAGCUUUACCGAGCCGACGAUCUGUAGCUGGUCUGAGAGGACGACCAGCCACACUGGGACUGAGACACGGUCCAGACUCCUACGGGAGGCAGCAGUGGGGAAUAUUGGACAAUGGGCGCAAGCCUGAUCCAGCCAUACCGCGUGGGUGAAGAAGGCCUUCGGUU
rnacentral:rRNA from 1 species